UACGGAGGGUGCAAGCGUUGUCCGGAAUCACUGGGCGUAAAGGGCGCGUAGGCGGCUCAUGAAGGCUGUGGUGAAAGUCCGGGGCUCAACCUCGGAUCGGCCGUGGCGACUCGUGGGCUGGAGCACUGUAGAGGCGGGUGGAAUUCCGGGUGUAGCGGUGGAAUGCGUAGAGAUCAGGAGGAACACCCAUGGCGAAGGCAGCGCUCUGGUCGGCAUCUGACGCUGAGAGGCGAAAGCGUGGGGAGCGAACGGG
rnacentral:rRNA from 1 species